rnacentral:rRNA from 1 species
CCUACGGGAGGCUGCAGUGAGGAAUAUUGGUCAAUGGACGAAAGCCUGAACCAGCCACGUAGCGUGAAGGAUGACUGCCCUAUGGGUUGUAAACUUCUUUUAUAAAGGAAUAAAACGAGGCACGUCUGCCUUCUCGCAUGUACCUCAUUACUAACGCUCGGCCAAACUCGUGCCCGCAGCCGCGGUAAUACGGAGGGUUGCAGCGUUUACCGGACUUAUUUGGGUUAAAGGGAUGGUCGUUGGGUUGGUAAGUCAGUUGUGAAAGUUUUCGGUCCAACCAUAAAAUUGCAAUUGAUACUGGUAGUCUUGAGUACAGUUGAGGUAUGCGGAAUGCGUGGUGUAGCGGUGAAAUGCGUAGAUAUCACGAAGAACCCCGAUUGCGAAGGCAGCUUACUAGACUGUAACUGACAGUGAGGCGCGAAAGCGUGGGGAUCAAACAGGAUUAGAUACCCUGGUAGUC